rnacentral:lncRNA from 1 species
GUUUUACAAAUGAACAGAGCAAGUAUUCUCCAUGAAGACCUGCCAAACAUGGACACAACUAUUCAAGGGCAGUCAAGGAUAGGGAACCCCCUUCCUGAUUUGGGCAAUACACGUGUGUUGGUGAGAAAGCUGAAUCCAACGAAUGUGGUACCAGAGACUUCUUUCCCCACUAAAAUUAGACCCAGAUCAUUGAGGUGGCCAGCCCAAAGCCUUAAAGUCUGUGGCCCAGCAUCAGGGCUCUGAAGGCUCCAGCUGUCUGCUUAACUCCCCCACCCCAAGUGCCUGUUUUAGUUCAUGAGCCUUUUUGCCCACAGGAAGGUAUGUCAAGGCAGGAGAUGGGUUGAGCUAAGAGUCCUAGUAAAUGGUUCUCCAUGAAAUUCUCUUCUGCCAUUGUACGCACUGACUUCAGAAAAGCACACCAACUUCAUUCUUACUCUAGUCCCUUCUUCUCCUGGCCCUACUCUGCUAGCUGCCCUUAUUCUUAAAAUUCUGUUCGCUAUCUCAAUCCUAUCCCUUCUGCACACACGCACACACCACAUUCACUUAUUUCUAUGAUGUCGCAUAAACAAAGAGAUAGAUUAGGCAGCUAGGUUUAAUUUUGGCAACAGGCCUGGCAUUGAGGGAAUCUUCUCGGACAGGGUGUUUCUGUUUUUGAUAUUUUUUAAAAGUUUCUUUUAUUUUGAGAGAGAGAGAGAGACAGAGAGAAAGAGAUAGGAGAAAGGUAGGGAAGGAGCAGCAGAGAGAGAGAGGGAGAAGGAGAAUCCCAAGCGGGCUCCCUGCAUGCUAUCAGUGAAGAGCAGGGGCUAUUCCUAAGAACACUGGCUUUGGGCCUUCCUGAAUCCCCACAUUCUACCCACCCAAAUAUGAGCAACAUUACCAAAAUAUUUUAGCCAGGUCACAUCCCUAGAACAAUUUUCAUUUUACCUAAUCAGAAUACGGUUCUACCAGCGAUCAUGCUAAACAAGCCACUAAUUUCCCUGAGCAAGUCCACGUCUGACCUUCAUUAUGCUGAUUAGAAAACCCUCAGGUGUUGAUUGAGCUAUAGAUAGUUAAAGGGCUUUCAGUAGCCAUCUUUGGAAUUAGCCUUUUUCAUAUAAUGUUAGGCGCCACCCUUGGACUAUGGAUUCUUGGUUAUAGAAAUGGAAUGGCCCCAGAAGUGCAGCUUGAACUAAGUGUCACACACAUAAUAUCAUACAGUGUGCCAAAGUGUCUUCAAGUAUGUUACUACAGACACUGUAACAGUUCCCCGUUCAACAUGAAUAUAGCAAGUGUGAUAUUUUAAUAAGUUCCCUCACCAAGUAUUUCCGGGUGCCUGGAGACUGUUCACAUGUUCCGAGAUCUGCCAGAUCAGUCACUUGUUACCUCAAUUGUCUACUGCUUUUUCUCGUUUCACCCCUCGCCAUUCCUUCUUCUACCCGAUGCUUUAAGAACGCGGGACUGAAUUUCAGGACGGAUAUGAGAUCCUUCCUUAACAAACUCUGUAGUUUCUACUAAUCAUCUCAAAUUGACUUGUCUAGUAAGAUCUCUCAUACAUUCAAGGGUGAGCUAUUUAUUUAUUAGUUUAGUUUCUUCCUUUCAUUUCAAGGAAGGAAGUUAAAAGGUAACAUUAAUUCCAGUUAUUAUUGUGAAAGUCUGAACGUAUUUUUUUUUUUCCUAUACCAGGUAGCAGCCGAACGGAUUAGUUCUAAAGGAACUAGAAAAUAUAUGCUAGUGGCACUUGCAAGUUAUUACAGUCUAAUUGUAGUUAAUUUUAUUCUCUGGGACAACUAAUCUCUCGAUAGCAUUUGCAGUGAUUGAUUAAAAUCCACUCCUUGCUAAAAUCAAGGUCUUUAGGUAAUUGAUGUGCUAAUAGACCCGCAAUUAUUUGAGGCUGUGCUUCCUCACAGAGAGCAAGUCAAGGAAUGGAUAAAGUCCAAAUAAAGUACCUAUUUUGCAACAGGAGUUAUGAUAAUUGCCAGGAGACAGCCUGCUUAUCAGCUGUGAGCGUUUGCCAUCCUUCAUUAAUAUGUAGUUCAGUUGGACAUCAGAGAAACUGGCCCCCAUGGGAAUACCCUUUGAAUCUCCCAUUAUCUCAUUUUCCAUACACUUGGCUUGAUCCACUUUUUAUCUACGUUCACAGAAAGAUCUGGCUUUUCACAUAGGAGCUUUCUAAACAAUCGGCUAGCCGUGAACCCUUGCCAAAGCUCCACGCGGCGUCGGCUGCUGUAAAUUUGGACAAGCGUGUGCACCAAUAAAGUAUCCGUUUAAAUGUUCCAGACUAAAUAUUUUAGAAGUAGACAAAACAAAUACUCCAAAGUGCUAACCUGUGAGUUUUCCAUUCUGUGGCUCAUGUCUACGUGUCCUCCUGCGGUAGACUCUCGAUCGGGGCUGUAGGCCUUUACUGCCUUCAGGCAUCUUGGGAAGUGCUCCUGUUCUGCUGUCCACUAACUCCUCGCUGCUUGUCCAUCAUAUCGAGCUCUCUGCUGAGUCUAAACACGCCCACAGAGAGACUGGGAUGGAUGCAUUAAAAACUCAUUUAGUGGGGCGCCCCUCUGGCUCGGUCGGAAGAGCACGUGACUCUUGGUCUCGGGUUGUGAGUUUGAGCCCCAGGUUGGGUGUAGAGAUGACUUAUAAAAAAAAAAAAAACAACUUAAAACUCAUUUAGUAAAAUAAAAUAAUAACCAUCUUCUUCUAACUCAGCCAGACACGAUCCAGGUGGUCAAAAUAACAGAAUUGUACUUGACACUAAUCAACUUUAUUUUGUCCUGGGCUUGUGGGUGAAUAAUUUUUAAAUGGGGUGCAAUUCUUUGGGGCAUUGGCUCUCUUUAUCCUUGGCCUCGUAAAGAAUAUUCUUGCCUGAGGGCUUAUAAUUGAAGUUUAUUAAAGAUGAUUCUUUCCAAUUAUAAUAUGAGGGAUGACUGCUUUAUCUUUAUAUUUCAUCCUCAUUAUGGCUCAAAACAAAUAUCCAAUGUGGCCAAUUACUAGGGACAAAUAAAAAGGAAAGCACAGCCACUCAAGCGUUAGUUAAAUACGGUUUGCAGGUCCUAGAAUAACGGCUAACAUAUAAUGCGAACGGAUCGCGUGCCAGACUCUGUGCUAAGCACGUCCCUCUUACCACGCCAUUCAAUCUGUACAACAGGUAGUAUUUCACUUAUAUUACAUCCCGGCCAGCACAGUUAUUCUCCCCAUUUUAAGGAUGAGUUCACUGAGGAAAAGGGAAGUUGACUAAGGUCUCACAUGGUGGUAAGGAGCAGACCCCAGACCAAAACCAGAACAAUAAUCAACUGUAUGAUGAGAACACAGCCAGGUAUGACCUCUGCUGUUCUGAAUACAAUUGAGCAAAGGAGAAGCGCCCAUCAAUCAUUUUAACCAAGUUCACCUUUUGUUGUUGCUAUUCAAGCAGGAUUUUUGGCCCAGGAAAUUUGUAGUGAGUGAUUAUGAUUACAUUUUCCUCAUCUACAUGCCUCUGACACUCUUGUUGAAGAUGCUAAUCUUGUAUGAAGCUGUCUUUGGAGUUGAUGAUGCCUGCCACAUGCUACUCCUGUGGGAAAGGGAUAGAUGUCAUGCAGAAAAUAGAAUAAAAUGCACUGGGGCAAGUUAAACUGCUAAUAAGAGUAAUCACAGUCAUAGAUUUUAAAAUCAUUUUACAUCUAGUUGUAAU